UUGAGCUACUCCAAGGGAAGAGGCAUAUUGAUCGUGUAAGCUAUUUUAGCUGAUAUUAUCCUGAUAUUCCUACUCCAAUGAACUGGCUAAAUGGCUUCCUAUUUUACCUCUUCCGUUCUCCGCUGGCUACAAUUGGAGGGUGAUUGAAGGCUCUCCAAACUCUACAGUGAAGUCUCUUCCACGAAAUCGAUCCUCUACAUCAGCGCGAAAUCGAUCUUCGCCUUCAGCGUUGUCUGCAACUCCCUCCAUCUGACCUCUUCCUCAAGGAAGAGAAUUUCAGAUUCAUUAGUUGAAGAGUAUGGAUUCCAUGUACCUUGUGUAUAAUUUUAGCAUAGAUGUUAAAG